UGGGGAUGACGUCAAGUCCUCAUGGCCCUUAUGGGUAGGGCUUCACACGUCAUACAAUGGUCGGUACAGAGGGUUGCCAACCCGCGAGGGGGAGCUAAUCCCACAAAGCCGAUCGUAGUCCGGAUCGCAGUCUGCAACUCGACUGCGUGAAGUCGGAAUCGCUAGUAAUCGUGGAUCAGCAUGUCACGGUGAAUACGUUCCCGGGUCUU
rnacentral:rRNA from 1 species